rnacentral:tRNA from 1 species
UGGGGUAUCGCCAAGUGGUAAGGCACAUGGUUUUGAUCCAUGUACCGGGGGUUCGAAUCCCUCUACCCCAGCCA